rnacentral:tRNA from 1 species
CGGCUCUUAGCUCAGUUGGUAGGGCAGAAGACUCUUAAUCUUUUGGUUGCGUGUUCGAGUCACGCAGGGCCCACCA